UAAGCAUAUCAAUAAGCGGAGGAAAAGAAACCAACAGGGAUUGCCCCAGUAACGGCGAGUGAAGCGGCAACAGCUCAAAUUUGAAAUCUGGCCCCCAGGGCCCGAGUUGUAAUUUGCAGAGGAUGCUUUUGGCGCGGUGCCUUCCGAGUUCCCUGGAACGGGACGCCAUAGAGGGUGAGAGCCCCGUCUGGUCGGACGCCUAGCCUAUGUAAAGCUCCUUCGACGAGUCGAGUAGUUUGGGAAUGCUGCUCUAAAUGGGAGGUAUAUGUCUUCUAAAGCUAAAUAUUGGCCAGAGACCGAUAGCGCACAAGUAGAGUGAUCGAAAGAUGAAAAGCACUUUGAAAAGAGGGUUAAAUAGUACGUGAAAUUGUUGAAAGGGAAGCGCUUAUGACCAGACUUGGGCCCGGUGGAUCAUCCAGCGUUCUCGCUGGUGCACUCCGCCGGGUUCAGGCCAGCAUCAGUUCGCCGCGGGGGAAAAAGGCUUCGGGAACGUGGCUCCUACGGGAGUGUUAUAGCCCGUUGCAUAAUACCCUGGGGCGGACUGAGGUUCGCGCUCCGCAAGGAUGCUGGCGUAAUGGUCAUCAGCGACCCGUCUUGAAACACGGACCAAGGAGUCGUCUUCGUAUGCGAGUGUUCGGGUGUAAAACCCCUACGCGUAAUGAAAGUGAACGCAGGUGAGAGCUUCGGCGCAUCAUCGACCGAUCCUGAUGUUCUCGGAUGGAUUUGAGUAAGAGCAUACGGGGCCGGACCCGAAAGAAGGUGAACUAUGCCUGUAUAGGGUGAAGCCAGAGGAAACUCUGGUGGAGGCUCGCAGCGGUUCUGACGUGCAAAUCGAUCGUCAAAUAUGGCAUGGGGGCGAAAGCC
rnacentral:rRNA from 1 species